rnacentral:lncRNA from 1 species
UCAAGAGCUCAUCCAACUCUUCCAACUCAGUGACUAAUAGAAUGAAAUCUCCGAAACUUUUCUUUUCUCCUUUCCUCCUAAGCAGACACUCCCACUUAAAAUGCCCCAUUACACCACACCUGUAGCCCUUUUUAGCUUCCAUACUUCUAUCCUGCUGAGAUUGUCUUCGUCCCACCUAUCUGCCCUUUUUCUUCUCUUUUCUGGGCCGCUCUAACACCGCGAGACCCUCCGAAAAAAUCUCCCUCUUCAUCAUCCACUCCUGCUGCUCGUUGGACCUGAGAACUGAGAUGAUCUCCUCA